rnacentral:rRNA from 1 species
GGAUACCUACGGGGCGCAGCAGUAGGGAAUCUUCCACAAUGGGCGCAAGCCUGAUGGAGCAACACCGCGUGAGUGAAGAAGGGUUUCGGCUCGUAAAGCUCUGUUGUUGGAGAAGAACGUGCGUGAGAGUAACUUUUCGCGCAGUGACGGUAUCCAGCCAGAAAGUCACGGCUAACUACGUGCCAGCAGCCGCGGUAAUACGUAGGUGGCAAGCGUUAUCCGGAUUUAUUGGGCGUAAAGCG